AACGCGCGGUUAAGGUGCCAAAGUCGACGCUCAUCAGACCCCACAAAAGGUGUUGGUUGCUCUAGACAGCAGGACGGUGGCCAUGGAAGUUGGAAUCCGCUAAGGAGUGCUUGACUGUCGCUGCACUGAUGACAUCUCGUUCAAUUUGAUUGACAGCCUCUAGCUUGUAUCCAGCCUCAAACCCAUGGUUGGGG
rnacentral:rRNA from 1 species